AUCCUCAGUUGUUAACAAUUGCCUGUUGAAACUUUCGUCUAUAUUGAUAGCGCCGUAAAUACCACCAGACAAAAGAAGCAAGGAACACAGACAGACGACAACUUUCCCUGGAGUGGAUGUUAUUACCUUCCCCCAAGCUCUCAUCACGUUGUCAAAUCCAUUAGCUCGAAUACCAGAACAGCAUUCAGUGGGAGGAGGACUCGUUAAACAAGGCAAAAAAUCUCGACGUUGAGCGUUGAUUCGUUUGAUAUCAAACCACAUGCAACCAACAAAAAAUGUCACCAGCAUAAAAAAUGCAGACCAAAUCGUCAGCGCUGCGUAUGCACAAAACAAACGAAUCGCUGGAAAGAUAGAACGACAGCUGACGGCAAAUGCUACGAGAUCAGUGAGGGUUGUCAUGGUUAUAGUUGGUCCACUUCUAGCCAUUGUGCCACUAAGCAUAUGCAUGGCAGGGAUAUUUUGAUGCACCAUUUCGUUUAGCUCAUGUAGAAUAAUAAACACAUCAUCUAUACCAAUACUGACGACCAAGAAUGGCAGAACACCUACCAUACUGACAAAGGGAACACCGACAAACAUUAAGAAGCCGAGUGCGGCUGUGACCCCUAAAUAAAUGGAUAACAAGGCACCAAAUCCUAAAAGUUGGUGUCCAAAGCGAGCAUCUGCGCAUCUACUGUUUACAAUUCCACUGAAAAUCCCCAUAAUAGUAAAUGUCAAUGCAAAGAACUUAAUGUCAGAUCCAGUACUUUCUGCCACUGAAUCGUCCAGGCUCCGUUCUGCUGCGUAGACAAUGUUUGCACAUGUAGUAUUUUCUGAGAAAGAUGAUACUUCAUUCAAAAAAUUCUUUUCCCACUCUAAAAUGCCUUCUCUGUUCUCGUCUUCUCUCGGAUAUUCUUUGAAAAAGUAAACAAUCCUCAAAGCCCUUUUGGAACCAAGUGUUGAACCAUUGGAGGCAGCUUUCGCAAAGAUUUGAUUGAAAUUAUCUUGAAGUCGUCUUCCAUUUGACAUAAGAAAAGAAUCAUUCUGGAGUAUGGUGUCAAUGCGCCGUAAAAUAUUGGUCAGAUUUUUCUUUUGGUAACCGAAAAUUUCUAACAAAUUUAUUGAGGCACAACUGCUAUUUGGGUUUGGUUUAAAACAGUAUUUGUCGUAAUGCUUUAUGUGAGUGAUAAUCAUAUGUAAAUCAAUAAUUUCCGCCAAACAUUCUUGCGACAGAAUAGACUUGUUAUGUUUUGGCAAGACUAUAACCUCUUCUUGUCGAAAUUCAAGUUCAAAACCAAAACUUCUUGCCUUUCGUAUAUCCUGUGAUGCCUCGCUGUCUUCAGGUAGAAACAAAUAUUUCACAUUUUGCUCGACCUCCAACUUCAAAAAUCCACAGGUUAGGCUAAUGGUGACGAUAAGGCAAACAAAGAUCACAUGAAAUGGCCGUCGUGAUAUAAGCGUGGCAGAUUUUUCAAAGAGCUUUUCAAGCAAUACAAUAAAUAAUUUUUGUAACAAUGCCAAAUUCCGUAAAAGUCCAGUUCCGAAGCGAGAUCGUGGUAGUUCGUCGGAAAUGUAUUCGACAUCUGUGUUGAGAUUUCCACUGUCACUGGAAUUAAGAAUUAAAAAAGUAAUGAAGUGUUUAAAAUAUGUGCUUCGUGAGUACACUAUAGUACGGUAUCAAUUUUUUUCGCGCGCGGUUCUAAUGUUAUUAUUAUUAUUAUUACAAAUUAUUACUAUAUUAUUAUUAUUAUUAUUAUUAUUAUUAUUAUUAUUAUUAUUAUUAUUAUUAUUAU
rnacentral:lncRNA from 1 species